rnacentral:rRNA from 1 species
GCAGUCGAGCGAUGGAUUGAGAGCUUGCUCUCAAGAAGUUAGCGGCGGACGGGUGAGUAACACGUGGGUAACCUGCCCAUAAGACUGGGAUAACUCCGGGAAACCGGGGCUAAUACCGGAUAACAUUUUGAACUGCAUGGUUCGAAAUUGAAAGGCGGCUUCGGCUGUCACUUAUGGAUGGACCCGCGUCGCAUUAGCUAGUUGGUGAGGUAACGGCUCACCAAGGCAACGAUGCGUAGCCGACCUGAGAGGGUGAUCGGCCACACUGGGACUGAGACACGGCCCAGACUCCUACGGGAGGCAGCAGUAGGGAAUCUUCCGCAAUGGACGAAAGUCUGACGGAGCAACGCCGCGUGAGUGAUGAAGGCUUUCGGGUCGUAAAACUCUGUUGUUAGGGAAGAACAAGUGCUAGUUGAAUAAGCUGGCACCUUGACGGUACCUAACCAGAAAGCCACGGCUAACUACGUGCCAGCAGCCGCGGUAAUACGUAGGUGGCAAGCGUUAUCCGGAAUUAUUGGGCGUAAAGCGCGCGCAGGUGGUUUCUUAAGUCUGAUGUGAAAGCCCACGGCUCAACCGUGGAGGGUCAUUGGAAACUGGGAGACUUGAGUGCAGAAGAGGAAAGUGGAAUUCCAUGUGUAGCGGUGAAAUGCGUAGAGAUAUGGAGGAACACCAGUGGCGAAGGCGACUUUCUGGUCUGUAACUGACACUGAGGCGCGAAAGCGUGGGGAGCAAACAGGAUUAGAUACC